rnacentral:rRNA from 1 species
UACGGAGGGGGCUAGCGUUGUUCGGAAUCACUGGGCGUAAAGCGCGCGUAGGCGGCGUACCAAGUUGGGAGUGAAAUCCCGGGGCUUAACCCCGGAACUGCUCUCAAGACUGGUAUGCUAGAGACCGGUAGAGGGUGGUGGAAUUCCUAGUGUAGAGGUGAAAUUCGUAGAUAUUAGGAGGAACACCAGUGGCGAAGGCGGCCACCUGGACCGGUACUGACGCUAAAGUGCGAAAGCGUGGGUAGCAAAC